rnacentral:rRNA from 1 species
ACGGAAGGCAGCAGUCGGGAAUAUUGCGCAAUGGAGGAAACCCUGACGCAGUGACGCCGCGUAUAGGAAGAAGGUUUUCGGAUUGUAAACUAUUUUAGACAGGGAAGAUACAAGACAGUACCUGUAGAAUAAGCUCCGGCUAACUACGUGCCAGCAGCCGCGGUAAUACGUAGGGAGCAAGCGUUAUCCGGAUUUAUUGGGUGUAAAGGGUGCGUAGACGGGAAUUUAAGUUAGUUGUGAAAUCCCUCGGCUCAACUGAGGAACUGCAACUAAAACUGGAUUUCUUGAGUGCGGGAGAGGAAAGCGGAAUUCCUAGUGUAGCGGUGAAAUGCGUAGAUAUUAGGAGGAACACCAGUGGCGAAGGCGGCUUUCUGGACCGUAACUGACACUGAAGUACGAAAGCGUGGGGAGCAAACAGGAUUAGAUACCCUGGUA